AUGUGCCACCGAGGUCUUGCCUCCUCCCUGUGGCAUUGCGCGCCCGAAGUCCAGGCCCUCUCCAGCCUCCAGAAGCUCUGCUUCCCUUGCUCCACGCCAAGACCGAUGCCGGCUCCACUUCGUCUUGCUGCUGUUCCGCCUUCUACCUCCUUUUGUUGCAGGACCCUCCCCAUCGGGCACUGUGGACGUGUUGUUUCUUCUCUCUCAAGGUCGAACGUACGCCGGUUACACGAGACACCAAGUACCACGACGGUCCUCCAAGAGUUUGGGUUCGACAAGUUUGAUGACGCUAUUUUACAUCUACGUUACCGAGACCGGCAAGACCGACUGAACGAAACCCCCAAGUACCUCUAUGAACGGAAACGCCAAGUACCCUACGCGCGAAGACGCCUAAGACCAUUUCGGGAUUCAUCGAGUACAACUACCGUCGACCCUCGAAGACCCCGUGGACGUCAAGUUCCGUCUCGUGACCCCGAACCUCUACGAAAACAUUGUACGAGUACUUCCAUGGCCGAAGACCCGUGUACAACUACCGUCGCCCUGUACGACUACCUCAACUAUGAAUGUCCCGAGAACAUCUACUUCCUCUACUUUGCACCGAACGAGAACCAUCUUUUGCACGCUUCGAAGGUAUAA
rnacentral:rRNA from 1 species